GCCAGGAUGGUCUCGAUCUCCUGACCUCGUGAUCCACCCACCUCGGCCUCCCAAAGUGCUGGGAUUACAGGCGUGAGCCACUGCGCCCGGCCUUGAACUCAUCAUUUUUUAUGGCUGCAUAGUAUUCCAUGGUGUAUAUGUGCCACAUUUUCUUAAUCCAGUCUAUCAUUGAUGGACAUUUGGGUUGGUUCCAAGUCUUUGCUAUUGUGAAUAGUGCUGCAAUAAACGUACAUGUACAUUUGUCUUUAUAGCAGCAUAAUUUAUAAUCCUUUGGGUAUAUACCCAGUAAUGGGAUGGCUGAGUCAAGAUGGUAUUUCUAGUUCUAGAUCCCUGAGGAAUUGCCACACUGUUUUCUACAAUGGUUGAACUAGUUUAUAGUCCCACCAACAGUGUAAAAGUGUUCCUGUUUCUCUACAUCCUCUCCAGCACCUGUUGUUUCCUGACUUUUUAAUGAUCAGAUAGCCUCCUAUUUUUUAACUAUGAGUUGGAAUUUGCUGCUUUUGAUAUGAUAAGAAAGUUCAAAGUUUCUCUUCCUUGCUUUGUUGUGUGUUCUAAUUCUUUUCUGCCCAUCCCCCAGUAAAGAAAAGGCUCAGUAUGAUUUCUUGAAUAGAUUGUUUAAGCUAUUUUCAAAACAGGACUUGGUCAGGGGCAGGUAGUCUUAAAUGUUCAGAAGCCACUGGAUGGAAAAUUGUGAGCACAUAAGUGUUUUUCUUGGUCAACCAUGUCAUUUUAUAGCCAAAGUUUGACUUGACAUACUGGAAUUAAUCCACACGACUUUGAAAAGAAUAAACUCUUUAAAAAGAGAGUGAGCGCUCCGAGGGUGUUAUGAGAGUCACUGUCUGAAACCCUAUUGAUCAUAUUGUGGCAGAAGAAAUAGAGUCCUGCCAUGAAUUAUACUUUUCAGGUUAAAAAAAAAAAAAGCAAUUUGUAGGACAGUUUGAAUAAUUUAGUACAAUUGUUAAAAAUACAGACAUGCACAUUCCUGUAUGUGCAUUUUUAAAUGUUCACGAAUGAUAUAAGCCAGAUAUAUUUCUUAGAGGUGCUUGAAAAAAGUUAUUUCUUCUUGGGCUUUAUUAUCUCAAUUUAAAAAAAUUAAGAUGCAUAAUUCUCAUAAGAUAACAGAUUCAGAAGAAUAUAGUUCAAGAAAAAAAAUUAAAGAACUCAUAAAGGAGAAGGAGGAGGAGGAAGAGAGUGUGAAACAGGAGCCUCAGAUAACUUGGUAAAGGCAUGUCUCCCAUUUGGGAACUGAUGUUCCUAAGAUCCGCACUGACGCUGCUCAGCCGGUCCAUCACACAGCAAAGGCGUGAGGAAGGGUCACUGCCCAGCUGGACUCCAGGGUGGUCCACGCAUGACAGUCACACCGAACCUUCAUGAGGAUGUGAACUGUUGGCUCCAAUUUACCAUUCCCAGCAAUUCCACUCAGAUAUUUGUAUACUAAUGUUCACAGCAGCGUGAACUCCACAGCAGGUGGAGUAAUGUUCCAUUGUGUGCAUAUGCCACAUUUUGUUUAUCCAUUCAUCUGUUGAUGCACAUUUCGGUUGUUCCCACCUUUGGGCUAUUAUUAAUAAUGCUGCUGUGAACAUUCCCAAGAGAAAUAGGAAGACGGCUUUGCUAAGAACUAAAAAAGGGAUGGACAACAAGGGCAUAUACCCAGGGGCAGUGUUCUAUCAUGACAGCUUUACUGAGAGCAGAGUAGUUCUGCUCAGAAUCAGAACACUUGUUCCCUAUAGCCCCCCUGAUUGCCCCACAACCACCACCGCAUACUCCCCUUUUCCCAACCAUGGGCAGCAGAUUGAGCUAUUAACAGAAGUGUCCUUUCGCUGGAUUUCUCAACCCUUUCCUCAUCGUCCACAUAGAGAAACAGUAACAGAUUGCUACUCACCCAACACCCAGGUCAAGUCCAAUGCAGGUAGGAAUAACAGCAAAUCCUUCAAUUUCUUGAUUCUGCUCUUAAAAAUCUUAACAGAGGCCGGGCACGGUGGCUCACGCCUGUAAUGCCAGCAUUUUGGGAGGCCGAGGCGGGUGGAUCACCAAGACCAGCCUGGCCAAGAUGGUGAAACCCCGUCUCCACUAAAAAUACAAAAAUUAGCCAGGCGUGGUGGUGGGCACCUGUAAUCCCAGGUACUCGGGAGGCUGAGGCAGAGAAUUGCUUGAACGCGGGAGGCAGAGACUGCAGUGAGCCGAGAUCACACCACUGCACUCCAGCCCAGGUGACAGAGCAAGACUCCAUCUCAAAAAAAAAAAAAAAAGACUUAACAGAGCAUUUCACGGGGAAGGGCCAUGAGGGAACAUCACCUGGGUGAUGGUAACAUUCUGUAUCUUGAUAAGGAUUUGAGUUAUACAAGUAUAUACAUCUGUCAAAAUUCAAAGAAUGUACACUCAAGAUCUGUGCAUUUCAUUAUAUGUAAAUGUUACAUUAAAAUGUUGUAAACAAAUAUUGAACAAAUAUACGCAUGCUAAAGUAUUUAAGAGGAAGUACUGGUGUCUGCAAAACAAAAAUUUUUUUUCCAUUUUCUGUGGUAAAAUAUACAUAAUAUAAAUGUAUUAUUUUAAGUGUACAAUUCAGUGGCAUUAAAUACACUCAGAAAGUUGUGCAAACAUCCCAUUUAUUCAUUUCCACAGAUUUUUUAAUUCUCAUUCCAAACAGAAGCCCUGUACCCAAAGAGCAAUAACUCCGCAUCCUCCAAUCCCCACUCUCUGGUAACCUCUAUUCUACUUUCUGCCUCUAUGAAUUUGCCAAUUCUAGGUACCUCAUAUAAGUGGAAUACAGUAUUUAUCCUUUUGUGUCUGGCUUCUUUCACUUAGCAUAAUAUUUUCAAGGUUCAUUCAUGUUUUACAUGUAUCAGAAUCUUGUUUUUUCAGGUGGAGUAAUGUUCUAUUGUGUGCAUAUGCCACAUUUGGUUUAUCCAUUCAUCAGUUGAUGCACAUUUCGGUUGUUCCCACCUUUGGGCUAUUAUGAAUAAUGUUGCUGUGAACACUGGUAUACAAAUAUCUGAGUGGAAUUGCUGGAUCAUAUGGUAAUUCUGCAUUUAACUUUUUAAGGAACUGCCAAACUGUUUUCCACAGAGCUGUAACAUUUUACAUCCAAACCAGCAAUAGGACCUGGAUAAAAGGUGGCUAAGGCACAGUUAAAUAAAAUACUGUUAGUUACUGCCCAUUUGCAUUGGGUUUCUAGUGGCAAAUAAUCUAGCCGUGUCCUUGACUGGAUCUCCCAAUGAUUCUUUUCAGUCAUUUGAAUGAGUAUGGUGGUGGUGACACUGGCAGGAGGCUGGAGGGUACUUUAAUUAACACGCGAACACACACAAAUCCAUUGCACCCCACUAAGCCGCCCAAACACACAUGAAACACAAAAACUAUCCUUGCUAGGGAAACACAGCCCUGGAACAAACCCCCUGGACCCCUUGUCACCACCAGCCCAUCCUGUAAGAAAAUGAUGGUUGAAGCUGCAGUGACAGAAUUGGAGAGAUGCUCUGUUAGACAAGUCUGUCAGCUGAAAGGGGCAGAAACCAUUGUUGAACUGCUUAUAUGAGAGGAAGACCUGGGUGGCACAGGCCUGGCUGGACGCAGGGCUCACAGAGCGUCAUCAGCACUUCAUCUCUUCCCCUGCGGGACCUGCUGUCCUCUGCGUUGCACACACCCCCCGCCAGGCUCAUCCCUGUAUCCUCCUUGGAGGAAAGUGCCAGGCUGGUGCUACUUGGCCCUGCCUGGGUCACACGCCUGCCUCGGGAUGUGGAGGAUGGUCAGCCCAGCCACAGCACAUGGAUUGCUAUGUGAAGGAUGAUGUUCCACAAGAAAACCAGGACGGCUUCACCAGGGAGGCAAGAGCAGCAGAUGCCCAUGACAGAGGGUGUAUACUCUGAAUAAAAGAAUUUGGAUUUUUAAAAAGAGACAGGAAGAAAAGGACUUCCAAACUCUAGAAAGUUUAAAACUAGUAGAAUGAAACAUAUUGUGUAUAAAUGUAAAGCUCUUUGUUGAGAUUAAAUAUACGUAUCAGUUAAAUUUUAUUUAAACAUAUAUAUACACAUAUACACACACACACAUACAUAUAUAUGACCCAAGUACAGGAUAAAGAUGAAAUUAAUAAGUACUCUUUAAAAAUCUUAGUUUUGGGGCUGGGCGCGGUGGCUCACGCCUCUAAUCCAAGCACUUUGGGAGGCCAAGGCGGGCGGAUCACCUGAGAUCGGUAGUUCGAGACCAGCCUGACCAACGUGGAGAAACCCUGUCUCUACUAAAAAUACAAAGAAUUAGCCGGACGUGGUGGCGCAUGCCUGUAAUCCCAGCUACUCGGGAGGCUGAGGCAGGAGAAUCGCUUGAACCCGGGAGGCGGAGAUCGCAGUGAGCCAAGAUGGUGCCAUGUCACUCCAGCCUAGGCAACAAGAGCAAAACUCCAUCUCAAAAAAAAAAAAAAUUAGUUUUGGGAUACCAGUAAUUUCAGUAUUAUUAACAACCUGACUUGGGCACCCCAAAAGUUUGCAAUAAUGGCAUUAAAUGGCUGGAUAGAGAAAGAGAUGGUGGCGUGAAUGCCUGCUUCCUGGUGUCAUGUCUGGAAUUUCAUGUCCAGUCCUGAAAGCUGCAUUUUAGGAAGGGUGCUACUGAGCGUCCAGAGAAGACAGCAUUUCGCUUGGUGAAGGGAGUGGGCUUAUGAUGCAUGGCAGGAGGAGUAAUGUAGAAAGAAAUAAGCUUUGCGGUGCAUAGUGUAGAGAAAUUCCUGCUUUGCGUCAAACAGACUGACCAGGCAGGCCUCACAGUUUUGCAAAGCCCUGGAAGCACAGGCUUGGCUGCAGAUGUUGGAUGACUUUCCAGACCAGUUUUGGAAAAAGCUCUUGAGGAUCAGAAGCUCCUGGGAUUUCUGUUAUCACCUGAUUUCAUGGAGAGAGACAGUCCAGGGCCGGGAAUUAUGUGGCAUCUAUGUGUUCCCCAGUUGUGGGAUCCAUCUGGCCGAUGGUUAUGGUGGUCAGUGACUUUCAGAGGCCUGGAAUUCAUGACAGAUGCUUUUGCUAAUGUGCUUGGUGCCCCACUGAGGCUGCUGAGCAGUGCUUACCAUGCGCCCGAUGUCUCUUCUGUGUGCCUCUGAGAGCAAAAGUGGCCUCAGAGUCUGAAGGAGGGCAAAGUGGCCACAGCUGCAGACACAAAGUCCAGACUAGCUCUUGACCACAUCCAAGUGCAUCCUGCAUUAAGCUCAGGCACAUCAAACCUGCCCAAUCAAGGUCUGCCAAAGGAAGGAGUCUGCAAAUGACAUUUCUCAUAAUCAAACACACUCUUAAUUUGUUUUUAUAUUAUUCACUCCAUUUUUUGAUUAUUAUAACUUUUAAAAUUAUGUCUAGUAGUUUUAUCAAUUGCUGAGAAGAGUGUUGAAGUCCAACUUACAAUUGUGGAUUUGUUGAUUUCUUCUUUCAGCUUUAUUGGUUUUGGUUUAUGCAUUUUAAGGCUCUGCUCUUGGUGUGUACACAUGUAAAACCAUUUUGUCUUCAUAGUAAAUUAAUUUUUAAAAAUCAUUAUGUAAUGUCCCUCUUUGCUCCAGUAAUUCUUUGCUCUGAGGUCUACUGUAUUAGUAUUAAUAUAGCGACUUCUACUUUUAAGUUAAUAUUUGCAUGGUACAUUUAUUUUAAUGCUUUUCAUUUUCUUUUUUUUUUUCUUUUUUUAUUAUACUGUAAGUUUUAGGGUACAUGUGCACAACAUGCAUGUUAGUUACAUACAUAUACAUGUGCCAUGUUGGUGUGCUGCACCCAGUAACUCGUCAUUUAACAUUAGGUAUAUCUCCAAAUGCUAUCCCUCCCCCCUCCCCCCACCCCACAACAGGCCCUGGUGUGUGAUGUUCCCCUUCCUGUGUCCAUGUGUUCUCAUUGUUCAAUUCCCACCUAUGAGUGAGAACAUGUGGUGUUUGGUUUUUUGUCUUUGCAAUAGUUUGCUGAGAAUGAUGGUUUCCAGCUUCAUCCAUGUCCCUGCAAAGGACAUGAACUCGUCAUAUUUUAUGGCUGCAUAGUAUUCCAUGGUGUAUAUGUGCCACAUUUUCUUA
rnacentral:lncRNA from 1 species